UGCCUCGUCAUCUAAUUAGUGACGCGCAUGAAUGGAUUAACGAGAAUCCUACUGUCCCUAUCUACUAUCUAGCGAAACCACAGCCAAGGGAACGGGCUUGGAAAAAUGACUGCAAGGAAAGAAGACCCUUUUGAGCUUGACUUUAGUCUGACUUUGUGAAGAGACAUGAGAGGUGUAGCAUAAGUGGGAGCUGCUUGCAGCAACAAUGAAAUACCACUACUCUCAUUGUUUCUUUACUUACUCGGUCAAACGAGGAAUAGGCUUCGGCCUAAACUUCUAGCGUUAAUCGUUGCCUCGUGUGACGUGAUUCGCUCCGAGGACAUUGUCAGGUGGGGAGUUUGACUGGGGCGGUACAUCUGUCAAACGAUAACGCAGGUGUCCUAAGGCAAGCUCAGCGAGGACAGAAACCUCGCGUAGAGCAUAAAGGCAAAAGCUUGCUUGAUCUUGAUUUUCAGUACGAAUACAGACCGCUAAAGCGGGGCCCCACGAUCCUUUUGUUUUUACGAGUUUUAAGCAAGAGGUGUCAGAAUAGUUACCAGAGGGAUAACUGGCUAGUGGCAGCCAAGAGUUCUUAUCGACGUUGCUUUUUGAUUCUUCGAUGUCGGUCUUCCUAU
rnacentral:rRNA from 1 species